rnacentral:rRNA from 1 species
GGUUAAGCGACUAAGCGUACACGGUGGAUGCCCUGGCAGUCAGAGGCGAUGAAGGACGUGCUAAUCUGCGAAAAGCGUCGGUAAGGUGAUAUGAACCGUUAUAACCGGCGAUGUCCGAAUGGGGAAACCCAGUGCAAUUCGUUGCACUAUCGUUAACUGAAUACAUAGGUUAACGAGGCGAACCGGGGGAACUGAAACAUCUAAGUACCCCGAGGAAAAGAAAUCAACCGAGAUUCCCCCAGUAGCGGCGAGCGAACGGGGAGCAGCCCAGAGUCUGAAUCAGCUUGUGUGUUAGUGGAACGGUCUGGAAAGUCCGACGGUACAGGGUGAUAGUCCCGUACACCAAAAUGCACAGGUUGUGAACUCGAAGAGUAGGGCGGGACACGUGGUAUCCUGUCUGAAUAUGGGGGGACCAUCCUCCAAGGCUAAAUACUCCUGACUGACCGAUAGUGAACCAGUACCGUGAGGGAAAGGCGAAAAGAACCCCGGCGAGGGGAGUGAAAAAGAACCUGAAACCGUGUACGUACAAGCAGUGGGAGCACCUUCGGGUGUGACUGCGUACCUUUUGUAUAAUGGGUCAGCGACUUAUAUUCUGUAGCAAGGUUAACCGUAUAGGGGAGCCGCAGGGAAACCGAGUCUUAACUGGGCGUUAAGUUGCAGGGUAUAGACCCGAAACCCGGUGAUCUAGCCAUGGGCAGGUUGAAGGUUGGGUAACACUAACUGGAGGACCGAACCGACUAAUGUUGAAAAAUUAGCGGAUGACUUGUGGCUGGGGGUGAAAGGCCAAUCAAACCGGGAGAUAGCUGGUUCUCCCCGAAAGCUAUUUAGGUAGCGCCUCGUGAACUCAUCUUCGGGGGUAGAGCACUGUUUCGGCUAGGGGGUCAUCCCGACUUACCAACCCGAUGCAAACUACGAAUACCGAAGAAUGUUAUCACGGGAGACACACGGCGGGUGCUAACGUCCGUCGUGAAGAGGGAAACAACCCAGACCGCCAGCUAAGGUCCCAAAGUCAUGGUUAAGUGGGAAACGAUGUGGGAAGGCACAGACAGCCAGGAUGUUGGCUUAGAAGCAGCCAUCAUUUAAAGAAAGCGUAAUAGCUCACUGGUCGAGUCGGCCUGCGCGGAAGAUGUAACGGGGCUAAACCAUGCACCGAAGCUGCGGCAGCGACACUAUGUGUUGUUGGGUAGGGGAGCGUUCUGUAAGCCUGCGAAGGUGGCCUGUGAGGGUUGCUGGAGGUAUCAGAAGUGCGAAUGCUGACAUAAGUAACGAUAAAGCGGGUGAAAAGCCCGCUCGCCGGAAGACCAAGGGUUCCUGUCCAACGUUAAUCGGGGCAGGGUGAGUCGACCCCUAAGGCGAGGCCGAAAGGCGUAGUCGAUGGGAAACAGGUUAAUAUUCCUGUACUUGGUGUUACUGCGAAGGGGGGACGGAGAAGGCUAUGUUAGCCGGGCGACGGUUGUCCCGGUUUAAGCAUGUAGGCUGGUUGUCCAGGCAAAUCCGGAUAAUCAAGGCUGAGGUGUGAUGACGAGGCACUACGGUGCUGAAGUAACAAAUGCCCUGCUUCCAGGAAAAGCCUCUAAGCAUCAGGUAACAUUAAAUCGUACCCCAAACCGACACAGGUGGUCAGGUAGAGAAUACCAAGGCGCUUGAGAGAACUCGGGUGAAGGAACUAGGCAAAAUGGUGCCGUAACUUCGGGAGAAGGCACGCUGGUGUGUAGGUGAAGUCCCUGCGGAUGGAGCUGAGACCAGUCGAAGAUACCAGCUGGCUGCAACUGUUUAUUAAAAACACAGCACUGUGCAAACACGAAAGUGGACGUAUACGGUGUGACGCCUGCCCGGUGCCGGAAGGUUAAUUGAUGGGGUUAUCCGUAAGGAGAAGCUCUUGAUCGAAGCCCCGGUAAACGGCGGCCGUAACUAUAACGGUCCUAAGGUAGCGAAAUUCCUUGUCGGGUAAGUUCCGACCUGCACGAAUGGCGUAAUGAUGGCCAGGCUGUCUCCACCCGAGACUCAGUGAAAUUGAACUCGCUGUGAAGAUGCAGUGUACCCGCGGCAAGACGGAAAGACCCCGUGAACCUUUACUAUAGCUUGACACUGAACAUUGAGCCUUGAUGUGUAGGAUAGGUGGGAGGCUUUGAAGCGUGGACGCCAGUCUGCGUGGAGCCAACCUUGAAAUACCACCCUUUAAUGUUUGAUGUUCUAACGUUGGCCCCUUACCGGGGUUGCGGACAGUGUCUGGUGGGUAGUUUGACUGGGGCGGUCUCCUCCCAAAGCGUAACGGAGGAGCACGAAGGUUAGCUAAUCCUGGUCGGACAUCAGGAGGUUAGUGCAAUGGCAUAAGCUAGCUUGACUGCGAGCGUGACGGCGCGAGCAGGUGCGAAAGCAGGUCAUAGUGAUCCGGUGGUUCUGAAUGGAAGGGCCAUCGCUCAACGGAUAAAAGGUACUCCGGGGAUAACAGGCUGAUACCGCCCAAGAGUUCAUAUCGACGGCGGUGUUUGGCACCUCGAUGUCGGCUCAUCACAUCCUGGGGCUGAAGUAGGUCCCAAGGGUAUGGCUGUUCGCCAUUUAAAGUGGUACGCGAGCUGGGUUUAGAACGUCGUGAGACAGUUCGGUCCCUAUCUGCCGUGGGCGCUGGAGAAUUGAGGGGGGCUGCUCCUAGUACGAGAGGACCGGAGUGGACGCAUCACUGGUGUUCGGGUUGUCAUGCCAAUGGCACUGCCCGGUAGCUAAAUGCGGAAGAGAUAAGUGCUGAAAGCAUCUAAGCACGAAACUUGCCCCGAGAUGAGUUCUCCCUGAGACUUUAAGUCUCCUGAAGGAACGUUGAAGACGACGACGUUGAUAGGCCGGGUGUGUAAGCGCAGCGAUGCGUUGAGCUAACCGGUACUAAUGAACCGUGAGGCUUAACCUU